rnacentral:rRNA from 1 species
GCGGUAGGCAUAACACAUGCAAGUCGUGGGAGGACAGUCCUUCGGGGCUGAGCCGACCGGCGAACGGCUGAGUAACACGUUGGUACCUGCCUUGAAGUGAGGGAUAACUCCGAGAAAUCGGAGCUAAUACCGCAUGUGCUCGCAAGAGUAAAGCUUUUUGCGCUUCAAGAGGGGCCUGCGUCGCAUCACGCUAGUUGGUAAGGUAACGGCUUACCAAGGCUAUGACGCGUACCUGGUGUGAGAGCACGACCAGGCAGAAUGGGACUGAGACACGGCCCAUACUCCUACGGGAGGCAGCAGUGAGGAAUCUUCCGCAAUGGGCGCAAGCCUGACGGAGCCAUACCGCGUGCGGGAUGACACCUUUCGGGGCGUAAACCGCUUUUCUGGAGGAAGAAGUUCUGACAGUACUCCAGGAAUAAGUCUUGACUAACUACGUGCCAGCAGACGCGGUAAUACGUAGAAGACAAGCGUUAUCCGGAAUUAUUGGGCGUAAAGCGAUCGAAGGCGGUUAGAUAAGUUAGAUAUUAAAUACCUAUUGCUCAACAAAGGUGCCGUAUCUAAAACUAUCUAACUAGAGAAAGACAGAGGCAGAUGGAAUUCCUAUUGUAGGGGUUAAAUCCGUAGAUAAUAGGAGGAACACCAAAAGCGAAGGCAAUCUGCUGGGUCUUUUCUGACGCUGUGCGAUCGAAAGCGUGGGGAGCGAAAAGGAUUAGAUACCCUUGUAGUCCACGCCCUAAACGAUGAAUGCUCGAUGUUGGUUGGUUCUAAUCCCAAUCAGUGUCCAAGCUAACGCGUUAAGCAUUCCGCCUGAAGACUACGAUCGCAAGAUUAAAACUUAAAGGAAUAGACGGGGAUCCACACAAGCGGUGGAGCGUCUGGUUUAAUUCGACAAUAAGCGGGGAACCUUACCAGGACUUGACAUCCUUGGAACUUCUUAGAAAUAAGAAGGUGCUUUUUAAGAACCAAGUGACAGGUGUUGCAUGGUCGUCGUCAGCUCGUGCCUUGAGGCGUUCGGUUAAGUCCGUUAACGAGCGUAACCCUUAUCGUAUGUUGUAUAUUUCAUGCGAGACUGCCUCGUUCAACGAGGAGGAAGGUGAGGAUGAUGUCAGAUCAGCAUGACCCUUAUGUCCUGGGCGACACAGGCGCUACAAUGAUCGGUACAAAGGGUAGCCAAGCAGUAAUGUGGAGCCAAUCCCAAAAAACCGGUCUUAAGUUCGGAUUGAGGUCUGCAACCCGACCUCAUGAAGUUGGAAUCGCUAGUAACCGUGAAUCAGCCACGUCACGGUGAAUAUGUUCCUGGAUCUUGUACUCACCGCCCGUCAAGUCAUGAAAGAUAGAGGCACCC